rnacentral:lncRNA from 1 species
GACUCUAGAAUGAGUAGAAUGCUUAAUUGGACAAUUAGUAUGUGAAUUAGAUCGAGUGGCAUCUAACUUAGUGUUAAGGAACAUAGGUCGUGAGUAGACCUAUAAUCAAAUAGAUCGAGUGGCAUCUAACCUAGUGUUAUUAAACAUAGGUCGUGAAAUGAAAAGUACUUAACCUAGAGUCAAGUGAACCAAGGUUAGAAAGAAUAAUGAUCCUAGUGUAAUAAACCUAGGUUAAGAAUGUGAAAGCAAUAAAUCUAAUGGGUGAACUUAGGUUGAGUAAAGGCUUAGACCUAGAGAGGUCAGUUCCAUAGGGUUAAGACCAACCCCUAUGUGAUCUGAAAUGGAUUCCGGAAUCCCAAGGCUAAAAGGAUACACCCAAAGUGGUGUCGGGUGUGUGCGAUGAUUGCGCCGCCCAAGGGCUAAAGAACCUUUGUCGUGGCGUGUGCGACGAUUUCGCCGCCGGAUGGUUAGCCAGUUUGUGGAUCCUACCGCCUGUUGACUGAACCACUGUCGUGGUGUUUGUGCGACGAUUUCGCCGCCGGGUGGCUAAGUCAUGGACCUAGGCCGUUGUUGGGUGAGGUGCGAUUCGUCCGCCGCCAGACGGCUAGGACAGGAGUACGGUGAGCUGUUGCCAGCUGAGGUGCAUGUGAGAGUUCCUUCACCUCGAGCUAGACAGUGCGCGGACUAUCCGCGAUUGAUUGACUCAAGACCGAGUCGGGUGGCAUAGAGAACUAAGGUAAGAGAAACCUUAGGAAAGAAUGGCCAGUAGAAAAGUGCGACAAAGUGUAAAGAAUAAAGAAUAAGUAAAGAAUAAAGUUCGGCUAAGGAAUAAGAAUAGCUGAUUAGUAAAGAAAGGUUACAAGUAAAGAAUAGCUAAGAGCUAAAAGUAAUUAAAUGACAAGAGUAAAGAAUGAUUAAGAAUAUAAGUAGCGUUAAAGUAACCUACUUGCAUGAUUACAGGUAUUGCAUAUUGCAUUUCGUGAGGCAUGACAUGUAUUUCAAUUGAAUAUAUAUAUCUGUUGUAUAUUGUUGAACUAACAUGUUGCAGUGCCUCGUUAGACCUGUUGGUUGAGCUGGUUCUCUUGGGUGGCUAAACCCACUGAGGACUAUGGACAAUAGUCUCACCCCCGUGUUGCUGUUUUGGGGGUACAGGUACACACGUGUGCGGCGCGGCGGCGCAAGGCGAGGGCGUAGUUCUGCAGAUAGCGCCCUACCCCAGAGACCAGAGCUAGCAGUACCCCAUCUAUAUAGCUUAGGGGUAAAGGAAAUGAAAAGAAUACAAUGUAUCAAACUUGUAGUAAGUAAAUGUUGUAAUAACUUAGAUUGCAUUUGGAUGAAAAAGAAUGGAAACUGUGAUGUAAAAACUAUGAAAGUGAAUGAAUGUAAUAACUUAGGAUGUGUUUAUGUUGUAUGAUACCUUCCACUUGAAAUCUUGAUUGAUAUCCGUUCCUGGUUGGAACCUUCGUGAAUUGUAUUGAUUGCGAUGCUUUGAAUGUACAGGGGAGACUCUGUCCGUAGUACAAGGGAAACCUUGUCCAUUCGGCGAUGUCGGCGGCGCCGGGACCUUGGCCAAAUAGGCGGGUGGUCGCGGGCUGUGACAGUUGUGGUAUCAGAGCAUAAAGUAGAGAAUGGGAAUGGCUUAGACUGACCUAGGAGACCCUAGGAUAGUAAAACCAUAGAAGAAUAAGGCUCGUGAGAGACGAGGACUCAUGAUUCGUGGCGAAAGGUUAAUGGAUUGGGUUGUGUUGUAAACCUCUAAGACGGAUAUUAGAGGUAGACUCGAGGUGUUGUUUAUUCUCAGCCAAGGAUGUUCAUGUUGGGCGUACGACAACAUGAAACCGAGUGAUGUGAAUAAACACCCUUGCGUGACUUUCGCCUGAUUGGCUUUUGAGCCGGUGUUAGUGGUCUCGUGUUCGACCCAAGUUGGUCGAGAACUAAUCGAGUUGUCGUGUUUCAGGAAGCGAUGGCACCGCGUAGGCGAUCUUCUUCCAGAUCGGCGCGGGAGGGGACAAGUGGUGUUCCCGAGCAAGUCGACGCGAGCGAAGGCGCAGAGCUUCGUGAUCAGUUGGCCACACUCAUUGGAGUGAUGAGGCAACAAGCUGAUGUGGUGCAGAGGCAGCAGGAGGCUGCUAUGCGCCAGGAAGAGCGAAUGGAAAGACUCCAAGAAACGGUGGACCAGCUGGUGGGUGCACCAGCUGCGGCUCGUCGAGAACGGCCGGGAGUCGCGGCGGAGAUGUUCCCGUCGGGGUCGGGCGAUCCGACUCCUGUUAGUUCAGAGGUGGCGGCAGAAAGGGAGCGAGCUUUGGCUGCCCUCAUGGCUUUCAAGAAAUUUGAUCCGCCUACCUUCGAUGGUGAGGAUCCAGAUCCGUGGAUCGUGGAGAUGUGGAUUGAUGCCAUGGAAACGCUCUUCGAGGAUCUGUACACGUUGGAGCGAGACAAGGUAAACCUAGUCGCGCAUUAUCUCAAACAGUCGACGAAGGUGUAGUGGAAAGGCGUCAAGCAUGAUCGACCGCCUAGUCUCCCUCCUAUGACGUGGGAAGAAUUUCGGGGAUUGGUGUUCUCUGCUUAUUUCCCCGAUAGCGAGAAGCGGAAGCUCAAGGAAAGGUUCCUUAAGCUGCGGCAAGGAAGUCGCACGGUCAGGCAAUAGGAGCGGGAGUUUUUCCGUAUCGUGCAUUGUAUCCCAAACGUGGUGCGAGAUGACAAGGACAGGGCCGACUGCUUCGUGCGUGGACUUCAGCCAGAUCUUUACCAGGCGGUGCUGGUACUCAAGUUGCAGAUUUUUGCUGAAGUCCUGGAUCGGGCCUUGUGGAUAGAACAGGGCAACGCCUUUAUGCGGGAAGAGCGAGAGGCAUAUUACAAGGAAAAGGGGAAAGGACGACCGACAGGUGGAUCCAGUAGUCAGUCAAGUUCCCAACGGACUUUGACGAGUUCGCACUCGCGAUCCCGAGCUCCGGGGACAUACCGCAUUCAGUCCUCGGCGAAAUGUGCUAUUUGUGGAGGCCCUCAUUUCCCACGACAGUGUGAGCAACGUGAAGGCAAGUACUUCAAGUGUGGGCUGCCGGGUCAUAUGUGGGACGAGUGUCCGCGUGGUGACGGCCGGGCCUUGACACUGGCGACGGCCCAUCCCUCUCUGGGACAACCUGCAGGUGUGCCACCUGCGGCAUGGUCGGGAGAGCGGCCGUUGAGGACGAUGCAACCAGAGGGUUCGCGACGAGCGCCAGGUGGGCAUCGGUAAGCGACCCGAGUUGCAGAGCCUGCCGUUGCUGACGUCAUCGUGGCAGGUAUGAGUUAAUUGAGCAAGCAUGUGCUUUUACUAAUCUCAAGUUGGUGCAUAGCAUGCAUUUGUUGUUGGUCGGUUGCUACUAAUUAUAUAUUGCAUAGUAGGGACCGAAUAGUCGGGUAAGUAGACGCCCGUACAUGCUUGCAUUGUGAGAAGUGGCACCUGCUGGUGCAAGUAGAAAGCCAAGUGGUGCUAGCUAAUGGCUAGUGAUGAUUCUCCGGUACGGAAUGAGGCUCGUGGAGAACAUGGUCUAGUAAGUGACUCUCGAAAUAAUGGGUUGAAAAUUGUGAGAGUUGAGCCUUGAUGUUGAGGAUACUCGAAAGACACGGGAGUUGAGAAUGUAUUCCGGUAGAUCGAACAGUGAAGGUAGAAUCACUGUUGAGAGAGUAACCGUAUAGUUGCCGAAUACGGGCACGUAGGCCUAGUAGUACCUCAAGUUGAGGUCGGCGAGUCCUGCUCGUGUAGUCGGUGUGCAUAGGCAAGGUUGCCUGAUGCUAGAUUUCGUGGAACGCUUUAGAGGCGUAGAGCGCUCGAGUGUAGUUACUCGUGAAGUGCGGUUUUGAUUCAGCCGGUUGAGUGAAUUGGCAGUAGCACUUUAGCAGGGCUAAGUGUGAAGCGGGCCAUGGAUCACUCGUAGGGCUGGUGGCUCGCACUAGGUACCUGGGGGCCGAUAGAGUGUGUAGCUCUGUAGAGCAUGUCGUUUAGGACGACGACGACGAGUGGUGCUUGAGGAUGACCCGUGCCUGGACCGUUUGUGAACUGUGUAGCCUGGGCCCAUUGGGCAGGCGCAGUCAGCUGUGAGAGACAGCGGCCCGAUACCUACUGGUAGGGCAUAGUGUUGGUCAGGACGGUAGUCCGAGCUUGGACAUAAGUACGUGGAAUGCCACGCGAUAGAUCGUGAGAUUGAUGGCACACCAAGUGUGUAGUGACCCAACCCGAGGACUUGACGUGGUCUAGGAUCUUGGUUGCACCUGGUUGGAGUGUGUGUGAAUUCUCCAAUGAGAAUUUCGCCCAAUGAUGAUUGGAUCUACGAUGCGGGCAAGAGACGCUAUGCGUAGUUGUGACAGGUAUAGGCGGUAGGCCUACGUAAUGAUUAUGAUCGUUGGUCCGCCUGUGAAAACCGAUGAUCAGUGCGGCAAGCAACUCUGUUAGUGAGUUGGGCUUGGAUUCACGAACGGAGGGUUCGUGUGAUGUUGAACGUGGCUUGUGGUAGUAAAGGAUAAAGAGAAAAGUAAAGUGUUCUCUAGGAGACACUUGAAUAAGAAAUAGCCACGUGAGGGUUGGUGUAAGGAAGUGAAUUCUCGAAAUGCGAGAGUUGGACUUCGCUCAAAAUCGACAAAUUGUCGAGUGGUUGUGCUUCGGAAAUGCCGAAGAGGUCAAAUACACCAAAGGUGCAUUGCAACGGAUCUGCGAGAGCAAGUGUGCAAAAAUCUGCACUUGGCAGAUUUGCUCUCGGGGACCGAUCCCUGUCAAGGAAGGACCGGUCCCCCGUAGCUGGUUGGUGCGAGGUUGCGUGAUGCAACCGGUCCCUUGGCCAGAGGGACCGGUCCCCCGUAUGCGAAACCGGCGAGAAGAGGAAAUUGGCUAAGUCCUGCGAGAGCAAGCUCUCGGGGACCGGUCUCUAGUGGACAGACCGGUCUCCGGGGGACCGGUCCUCCAGGGACAGACCGGUUCCCGUAAGUGUGUUCAGGCUGAAGGCUCUCGGGGACCGGUCCCUGGCAGGGAGAGACCGGUCCCUCUACACAUAAAAUUUUCCAGGCAGGCUGGGUCAUGUUGGAGGAGUUGGAAUUGUUUGAGUUUCGAGGACGAAACUCUUAUAAGGAGGGGAGAAUGUAACAUACCGAAUUUUAAAUAUAAAAGAGAAAAAUAAAUAAAAAUAGUAUGAGAUACUAUUUUAUUGGAUUUAGAGAAGUGAAAUAUCGGUUGGGAACGACCUGUGCUGAAAUCGGAGCGAAAACAGAAGAUUUAGAAUUUUCUGUUGGAAACGGGACUGAUAAAUUAGCAGAAAAUGCACAGUCUCAGAAAAUUAUAAAAAAUUAGAGGAUAAGUCAGAAAUAUUUUUAUGAGGCUAGAUUUGAAGUUUCAUAUUUUUCUGACGCCCGUAGAGAGAGAAAUAGCAUCCGAAAGCUAUCUGAUAAAGAUUGCAGUUCGGUACAGUUUUCAGUGACCAAACGGGGUCGAAACUGAAAUAUUAAAAUUUCUUUGGACUUAUUAAGUAAAACCGAGCAUGCCUGUCAAAUUUGAGCUCAAACGGACAUUCAGAAGGGCUCCGGCGAAAAAUAAACUGCCCGAAGUGAAUAGUGCGUAGUUGAGGGGCAAAAUGGUAAAAAGGGUUUAAAACCCCUUUUCUUCUUCUCCUCCCAACCGUGGCUGCCCCAACCGCACACACCACACACGCAUACACAAGAACACACACACGCAUGGAAAGGAAAGGAGAGAAAUCCCUUUCUCUCUCUAAAUCUCUCCCAAAAUGGAUGGAUUUGGUGGAGAUUGAAGCUUGGAGGUGGAUCGCCUUCGUCUUCUUCAUCUUCUCCAUGGUUUGGAGCUCAUUUUGAGGUGAGCUUCUUGAGCCCUUUAAUGGUAGAUCUUUAAUGCUUGGUUUAAAUACCUUAUAAAUGGAUUUAGAGGAGUCCUAGCAUGCUAUCUAGAUGAUUAAUGCUUGAAUCAUGGAUCAAUUUAGUGAUUUCUUGCAUAGUUGUAACCUAGGGCUCCAAAAUGCAAACUUUCAAAAUAUGAGGGUUUGAUCUCAUUUGACCCUUCGUAAACCUAAUUGCUAGGUAACGAAACGCGUUGGCGAAGACGGUUCGGCAAUCCGACGAGCCGUUACAAAGUUAUUAAAGAAAUGGACGUUUAGGCUUCGGGUCCGCCGGGAGGGCCGAGGCGACGUCGUAAAAUCAUGGAAAUGGAUUUGAGGCAUCGUGGCACAUAACCGAAGACCUAUAAUUUUCGGGGCUGCGAAGCGGAGCACGGUUGAGGCGCAGUUGCAGUAUCGGGCCGUGCCGGAUACGGGUGCCGCGGGAGGCCGAUUGCAAGUGUCGACAAGCAAUCGGAACGCGAAUUAAGGUGGGUUGUGUUUACCGAAGCGACUAGGUCGCCUUUAUGUCUAAGAAACUAAGAAUCCAUGUUGAUGCAUAUAAAUGUAAAUGAAGCAUGUAAAUGAUGCAUGUAGCUAAAUAAUGCAUGUUGAUAGUAUGAUGUAAAUGCUAAAUAGAAUGCAUUAUGAGCAAGUUACAUAAUGCUAAAUAAUGUAAUGUAGAAAUGCUAGAAUGCAUUAUGAGCAAGUUACAUAAUGCUAAAUAAUGUAAUGUAGAAAUGCUAGAAUGCAUAAUGAGCAAGUUAUAUGAUGCAUGUUUAUAGUAUGAUGUAAAUGCUAAGUAGAUGCAUAUAAAUGAUAUAUGAGAUUAUAAACGCAUGAUUAGCAUUAUGAGAUCAUAGAUGCAUGCUUAGCAUUGUGAGAUUAUAUAUGCAUAUGAACUUGGUUGAUAACUCUAGCUUGAUUAGAGAGAUAACAUUGGAAAAUGAGAAUUGAUAACUCUAGAAUGAGUAGAAUGCUUAAUUGGACAAUUAGUAUGUGAAUUAGAUCGAGUGGCAUCUAACUUAGUGUUAAGGAACAUAGGUCGUGAGUAGACCUAGAAUCAAAUAGAUCGAGUGGCAUCUAACCUAGUGUUAAUAAACAUAGGUCGUGAAAUGAAAAGUACUUAACCUAGAGUCAAGUGAACCUAGGUUGGAAAGAAUAAUGAUCCUAGUGUAAUAAACCUAGGUUAAGAAUGUGAAAGCAAUAAACCUAAUGGGUGAACUUAGGUUGAGUAAAGGCUUAGACCUAGAGAGGUCAGUUCCAUAGGGUUAAGACCAACCCCUAUGUGAUGUGAAAUGGAUUCCGGAAUCCCAAGGCUAAAAGGAUACACCCAAAGUGGUGUCGGGUGUGUGCGACGAUUUCGCCGCCCAAGGGCUAAAGAACCAUUGUCGUGGCGUGUGCGACGAUUUCGCCGCCGGAUGGUUAGCCAGUUUGUGGAUCCUACCGCCUGUUGACUGAACCACUGUCGUGGCGUUUGUGCGACGAUUUCGCCGCCGGGUGGCUAAGUCAUGGACCUAGGCCGUUGUUGGGUGAGGUGCGAUUCGUUCGCCGCCAGACGGCUAGGACAGGAGUACGGUGAGCUGUUGCCAGCUGAGGUGCAUGUGAGAGUUCCUUCACCUCGAGCUAGACAGUGCGCGGACUAUCCGCGAUUGAUUGACUGAAGACCGAGUCGGGUGGCAUAGAGAACUAAGGUAAGAGAAACCUUAGGAAAGAAUGGCCAGUAGAAAAGUGCGACAAAGUGUUAAGAAUAAAGAAUAAGUAAAGAAUAAAGAUCGGCUAAGGAAUAAGAAUAGCUGAUUAGUAAAGAAAGGUUACAAGUAAAGAAUAGCUAAGAGCUAAAAGUAAACAUUAAAUGACAAGAGUAAAGAAUGAUUAAGAAUAUAAGUAGCGUUAAAGUAACCUACUUGCAUGAUUACAGGUAUUGCAUAUUGCAUUUCGUGAGGCAUGACAUGUAUUUCAAUUGAAUAUAUAUAUCUGUUGUAUAUUGUUGAACUAACAUGUUGCAGUGCCUCGUUAGACCUGUUGGUUGAGCUGGUUCUCUUGGGUGGCUAAACCCACUGAGGACUAUGGACAAUAGUCUCACCCCCGUGUUGCUGUUUUGGGGGUACAGGUACACACGUGUGCGGCGCGGCGGCGCAAGGCGAGGGCGUAGUUCUGCAGAUAGCGCCCUACCCCAGAGACCAGAGCUAGCAGUACCCCAUCUAUAUAGCUUAGGGGUAAAGGAAAUGAAAAGAAUACAAUGUAUCAAACUUGUAGUAAGUAAAUGUUGUAAUAACUUAGAUUGCAUUUGGAUGAAAAAGAAUGGAAACUGUGAUGUAAAAACUAUGAAAGUGAAUGAAUGUAAUAACUUAGGAUGUGUUUAUGUUGUAUGAUACCUUCCACUUGCAAUCUUGAUUGAUAUCUGUUCCUGGUUGGAACCUUCGUGAAUUGUAUUGAUUGCGAUGCUUUGAAUGUACAGGGGAGACUCUGUCCGUAGUACAAGGGAAACCUUGUCCAUUCGGCGAUGUCGGCGGCGCCGGGACCUUGGCCAAAUAGGCGGGUGGUCGCGGGCUGUGACAAUCAAUCCUACAGUUGAGGAUUCCAAGUUCAAUCCAUUCCUUAACUUUAAGGAAGACUAUGCUCAAUUGACCCUUAGUACUAAGGUUGAAUGUCAUAAUAUCUCAAUCGUUCUUGUUCUUGCAUUCUUUACUACCACUAAUGUCAUAUACACUAUCAAGUUCUUGAACUCAUGCCACACUUGUUCUCUAAAUGCUAGAUUUUUGUCCUCAUGCCAAAUGCCACACUUGUUUACUAAGGAUUCUAGACUCGUCGAUGUCAUUUGCUAGAUCUAUGUCAAAGUGUCACUUUUCGUUUACUAACCCUUCUAGGUUCUUGUCACAAUCAUGCAUACAUAGGGAUCAUCAUUCUCACACCCUUACAAAUAUUUAACAUGCAUUUGAAUUUACAUUAAACUAUAACAAAACUCACAAUUGACCCUAUUAUGCAAGAUGCUCAAAAAUGCACAUAUACUCAAAAUAUAACAAUUAGACAUAGAAAGACUUCCGAUGUCCUUGGAAUGCACCACCUACCUUAGAUGGUUACAAGGAUACUUCGGUGAAUUUCUUGGAAUUUUUUUGAAACCCUAAUCCGCGUGCUGCGGCUAUCUGUACGGAAAACGAUGUUUUUGUCAAUAACUUUGCAUACACUCGUCGGAUUGUCGAACCGAGCGUUCCAACGCGUUUAAAAUACCCUCAAUUAGGUUUCUACAUGAUCAAAAUAUAUCAAAACCUAACUUGGGCAAAACCCCUCUUUGGGAUGCCCUAACAUGCAAUUUUUGUAUUUUUCCUAGAUUGAUCUCAUUACUAAGAAAAAGAAAGCUUAGAAUCACUUGGGAAGCUUUCUAACAAGGUUUCUAAACUUUUAGAACCAUCCCUAGAGCAUCUACUUUGAGCCCUAGUGAUCCACCAUGAGAGGGGUCCAAGAAAUCCAUGUUUUUCAUGGAGUCAUGGUUCUUAGAGGAUUUCCUCACUUGUAGAGAGAUCAAGACCCAAAAAUCUAAGGUCUAAACCCAAACCCUAAACCCAUUUUUGCAUAAGGACUCACUUUUGCCCAAGCUCCAUCAAAGCCUACUUGUUGGAGAGCUUCUAGGAACACCAAAGCCACCAAAAUCCAUUUCUCCAAGCUCUUCUCCACCUUCUCCAAGCUCUAGGGCUUGCUUUCUAGAGAGAGAAAGAGAGGAAAAUGAGAGAGGGGGAUGUGUGUGGCUGUGGGAGGGAGAGAGAGAGGUGUUGGGGAGUUAACAUGUUGCUACAAUUGCAACUAGGCCCUCCAUUUCUUUUUAUUUGCGUCAGACCUCACUGGGCUGUCUGGGGCCUCUUGUACCGGUACAAGGAUUCUUGUACGGGUACAAGGCCAAACAGUGAGCCAAACCCGAGAGCUGCCUCUUGGGUUCGCAGGGUCUGUACCGGUACAAGGGGUCUUGUACCGGUACAAGGCCUGGACUGCACCAACCCGAGAGCUGCCUCUCGGGUUCGCAGGGUCUGUACCGGUACAAGGGGUCUUGUACCGGUACAAGGCCUGGACUGCACCAAUCCGAGAGCUACUCAGCUCGGAUUGCGCUGGUUGUACCGGUACAACUAUCACCUUGUACCGGUACAACAGCUCCAGAAUGUUGUUUUAGGCUUCGAUUCGACUCUACCUCGCGUCGGUCGAUGCUAAAACCAUUCUAAGUCUUCCCAAACUCAUUUUUAGCCCUUCCAACAUUAUUGGAAUGCAAGAGGAACUUGUCUAUCGUUUUCUUUCGAUGCUUUAACCAAUUUGGUCAAAGUUCAAUUAUCGUUUUCGGGUUUCGAUAUGUUACAUGCAGCUUGCCUCCUUCGGACCUGUCGAUCGAGCUUUUCCCUUGAGCGGCCGUACCCACUGGGAACUAUGGAGUUAGUUCUCACCCCACGUUGCUUUUGGGGUGUUACAGGUUCACACGUGAGCGGCGCGGCCACGCGAGGCGAGGGCGUAGCUCCGUAGAUAGAGCCCUACCACCGUGACCAGAGAUAGCAGUACCCAAGUCAGCCAAGCUAGGGGUUGUAGAAAAUGAAAGCAAAAUGAUCAAACUUGUAAUAAUCUUGUGAUGAUUGAUUGUAUUCGGAAGUUUAAAUGUAUUUGAAAGGAAAAGAAAUGUAAAUAAUAUCAAGUGAAUGAAUGUAAUAACUUAGGAUGUGUUUAUGUUGUUUGAUACCUUCCUUAUGCAAUCGUUGUAUGUUGAAUACUGUUCUUGGUUGGAACCUGUUGUAAUUGUAUUGAUUGCGACGCCUAGGACGUACAGGAAAAACUCUGUCCGUUCGGCGGUCUGUCGGCGUGCCGAACCUGACCAAAUAGGCGGGGCUCGGGGCGUGACAACACUGGACCUUUGUAAAUUGUGAGGUUCGAGUGUUUGAUUUGUAUUCUGAGCUUUUCCACAUUUUUUGGAAGGUCGUAGAUAGUGUUUCGACCUAUGGCUCGCAUCUCGAGAAUCGAGAUUUUAAACUUAGCGCUAAGGUCUCCAAAGAGAAGGACUUAGGCUGCUCUCGGGUUGGUUUCUGCAGAGUGUGGUACCGGUACAGCAUUGAGCUUGUACCUGAAUGAGGGGUGGUACCGGUACAACAUCGGGUUUGUACCGGUAUCAGGCAUCGUUUUCUGCCAACCCGAGGCUCGGGUUUGCGUGCACAGUGUUUGAUACCGGUACUCUUGCCCGAUGGUACCAGUACGCAGUGCAGUCCGCAAACUGCUUGUUUUGGGAGGGUGUUUUUACAAUUAUAGCAUCUCUAUAUAACACCCCACGCCCCUUAGGUGUUUCCCUGAGCUUGGAAACACAGGAGGAAGGGAGGAAAGCCCUCCACUUCCACCCUUUGGUUUUUUUUGAUUUAUGUUGGAAUUUUUCAGAUUUAAUCCUCUCUUUUUGUCCCUUUUUGCUUGUUGGUAGUAUUUCCACCAUGGUUGAAGGCUUGGAGCUUGGAGAAAAGCUUGUUGGAGGAGAGAUCUUCAACCCUAGUUGAUUUCAAGCCUUAUUUGGAGCUUCUCUUGAGGUUAGUAAUAUAUUUCUUGCUUUAGAUUCAUGUUUUAAUUGAUUUCUUGAGAUGAAACCCUAGAAUGUGAAACCUAGGGUUUAUUUUGGGGGUUUUUAAUUUGUAGCUCUUGGGGCUCAAUUGAUAGGUGUAGAACAUCUCGUUGGGAUAGAUUUGAAGGGCUCUAGCAUCCAUUUGAAAUUUGAGAGGGAUUUUCUAAACAUUAGGUGAGUUUUGCCUUAUUGUUGGAUUUGUUAAAGAUGAACACUUUGGGUGUUCGGUUAUUUUGUUUAACCCUCUUAGAAUUCUCUUUAGGGAGCUAAGAGACUUAUGGACAACUUCUUUUGUGUAAACGAAAGGGUUGCAAGAAGCCUCGGUGAGUUUGACCUCACCAAAAUGAGAAAAUCUCACCUAUGUCUUUUUAAAUAUUAUAAAAUAGAAAAUCAUGCAUAUUCAUGCUAGAUAAGGCAUAAAUGAAUUUUAGAAUGCUUGAAAUACACAUAUUAUAUACAAUGCAAAUUUGUACCUCUAUGUAGUAGAGAGUUAUAUAUGUCGGAAUCUUGCAUAUAAAUAGCAUUCUUAUAUGUGGCUUGGGAUCAUGUUUCAUGUAGUGAAAAUGACAAGUAUAAUAUGCCCUUGGACAUAGAUCUUAUAUUGGACAUAGGAGAAAACAUAAUGCCAUAAAGAGGCAUUAGACUAUAGUGAUGUGUGAAUUAGUAAGCUAAUGUCAUAAAGUGGCAUUAGGCUUAGAAUGUACUUGGACAUAGUAAGCUAAUGUCAUAAAGUGACAUUGGGCUUAAAAUGUGAUUGGACUUAGUAUGUUAAUGUCAUAAAGUGACAUUGAACUUAAUAUAUAGUUAAACCUUACCUUGGAACAUUAAACUAGACCGUUGGGGUUGCUAAUGAUUAUUACCAUGUUAGAGACAUGAUGACCGGGUUCUUGAGAUGACGACUAUGCUUGCUUACUAUUUGUGCUCAUUCGCACAUACUUGUGAGGGUCGCUCCCUACAAGCCGGCACUCCGGAGUUAGCCUACACGACAUAUACUCGCUUGUGCGGUAUUGAGAAGCCUACGGGGCCGGGUAGGAUAGACUCAUUCCUAGAGUGGGAAUAUUGAGCUACCACUGGCAUUUAGGCGGCACAAGCCGGACUACACUUGUAUAGGUCCUAAAAUGAGAUUGGAUAAUGACAUUAAACCAUAAUAUGACAAUCACUACUAGAUAGUUGUAGUAGUUGAAUUUCUUGAACAUGCUUGUGGCAUAGUAUUAAACACUUGGUUGAUAUACUUGGACAUAUAGUAUACUUGAUAGGGUUGCUUGUUGCAUUAUAGUAUACUUGUAUGACAUGUUUAAAGCACACUAGUAUAUAUUCUAAUGAUAUACUCAUCCAUGUUAGGCUAGCUAAUGCAAUUGUGGAACUUCAUGUUAUGUAAUGGCAUAGUAGCUAACAAAUUUAAUUCAUGUUUUAUUAUUCAUACUAUCGCUUCCAAUUAAGUGUUAGAAUUAUCUACUUUGCUUUUGGGCCUAGUGGUGCAUUUGCUAAGGUCAGUAAUUGUCUACUGGGAACUAUUAAUUAUAGUUCUCACGCCCCCUGUUUGUUAUUUUCUUUCAGAGCCUUCCACCUCGAGAGAGGCUCGGGAUCACGGGAAAGGGAUCGCCUCGAGCUAGUUAGCGAGAGAUUGUGCGAUAGGUGGUCCACCUCUCUUUUUAUUUCAUUUUGGAGAGGUUGAGAGAUCUAUACCAUUUUGUAGAGACCACCAUUUUGGAUAUUAUAGCACUUGUAUUUGAGACUUUUGAUGGAUUACUCUAUGUCUUAUCUUACUGGGUUUCCACCCUUCAUGAGCUUUGUAGUGAAGAAUAUUGAUUAAAAAUGUGGAUUUGCAAGCUAGCUAAAUACUAAUUGGUCAUAGUCACAAUUCUCCAAAUGUUGGUGGAUUUGAUUAGUUGAAUAAGAAGUUAAUUAAAAAUAAAAAAAAACUAAUUGGUAGAAGCUCUUUACGACAACAUCAUUCCUUUUCCAUUCAUUGUUUCAGGAGGGUAUAUUUAGGGUUGUAGCCGCAAUACUUCAUAUAGGAAAUAUCGACUUUUCAAAGGGGACAUAUAUAAAUAGAUUCAUCUGUAAUAAAGGAUGAGAAAGCAAGGUUCCAUUUGAACACAGCAGCAGAACUUCUAAUGUAUGUCGAUUUCAUUCCAGCACCAUAGGCCAUUUUUUUUCUAUAAUUUCCGAAAGCUAGAUGUUUGUAGUUUAUUAUUCAUGUAAUUCAUCAGCUAAUGUUUUUGCAGGUGUGAUAGCGAGAAACUAGAGAAAGCACUGAUAACACGUGUGAUAGUAACACCAGAAGGAGUUAUUACUAGAACGCUUGACCCUGCUUCUGCAAUUGUUAGCAGGUAUGGAUUAGCAAAAACAAUAUACUCCCGGUUGUUUGAUUGGUAAUGUGUUUGAUUAUAUAAGAUUAGUUCCUACACAAAUUAAAGAGUAUUUCGUUAUUGAUGCAAAGCAAGAAAUUUUAUUCCUCUUUUGUUAGAAACUGACUAUUAAUGAAUCCUAUGGAUGAAAACAGUGACUGGAAAAGCUAUAGGUAUUUAUUGCAAUUAAGUUUAGUGAUAUCUGUUAUUUGUAUUUAUUACACUAAAAAGCCCAGUGGUUAGGCAACAAUUAUAUAAAUAGAUAAAAAAGUGAUUAAUAUAAACAAACAGAGCAUAUGCAUGAAUAUCCAAAGCUAAUUAAAAAUGAAAAAAAAAAUCAAAAAAAUGAUCAAAACUUACCAAAAGAAAGUAGUGAGAAAGAAGGAAAGUGGACGAACGAUUCCUCCCAAGCGGCGAUCGUGUGCGGCUCGGAGAAGGUCCUCCUAAGCGGCGAUCGCGUGUGACACGACGAAGGUCCUCUGUAAGGUACCGGACUUCUAAAAUUAUGAAGUUACGGUGUACAUUUAAAUAGUUCCGGUGAGGUUGCGGUGGAAUGUAACAUACCGGAUUUUAAAUAUAAAAGAGAAAAAUAAAUAAAAAUAGUAUGAGAUACUAUUUUGUUGGAUUUAGAGAAGUGAAAUAUCGGUUGGGAACGACCUGUGCUGAAAUCGGAGCGAAAACAGAAGAUUUAGAAUUUUCUGUUGGAAACGGGACUGAUAAAUUAGCAGAAAAUGUACAGUCUCAGAAAAUUAUAAAAAUUGGCGGGGAUGUUAGAAAUAUUUGUAUGAGGCUAGAUUUAAAGUUUCAUAUUUUUCUGACACCCGUAGAGUGAGAAAUAAAAUCCGAAAGUUAUCUGAUAAAGAUUACAGUUCGGCACAGCUUUCGGUGACCAAACGGGGUCGAAACUGAAAUAUUAAAAUUUCUUUGGACUCUUUAAGUAAAACCGAAUAUGACUGUCAGAUUUGAGCUCAAACGGAUAUUCAAGGAGCUGCGAAAGAUAUCAGAUUUGGAACUCUGAUUUGAUGUGAAUGUUUAUGUAUAUUGACAGGUUGUUGACUAUAAGUAAGAAGGUACUAGCUUCUUCCUUUCACGCCGGACCAUCCACCCUAACAAGCACACGUUCACAUGGGAAUCGAGCGUCGGUGUAGUGAUGAGAACCAUCCUUUUUCUCUCUCUAAAUAUCGUUCUCAGUCUCUCAUAUAUUUCUGCCCAAAUUGCGGCGGGUGGGUGGAGAUCGAGUUGUGAACUCCUUUUGGAGGCGCCGGAUGAAGCGUUUCGUACGCGCGUUGGAGCGGCGUGUUUUCGUCUUUUGCGGGUUCACUUGGGGUAAGCUUUUGAGGAUUUGCUUUAAUCUUAGCUUUAAAGUGUUCUGUAGCCUCUAAUGAAUCUUUGUUUGGCAUGUUGAUCCAUUUUAUAUUGGAAUUAUUUGGAGGGUUAAUUGUACGUUAGGGCACUCAAAUUGCAACGUUUUUAAAAAUAUGACGGGUUGGAUCUCAUUUUGCUUUCAGUAACUAAUUGUAGUAACGAAAAAGGUUGGCGAAGACGGUUCCGAGUAAUCCGACGAGCGUUACAGAAGUUAUUAAAGAGAAUAGACGUUUAGCUUCGGCGUCUGUGCGGGAGGGCCAAGGCCAGACGUCGUAAAUCAUGAUAAUGGAUUUAAUGGCAUCGUGGCACGUAACGAAGACUAUAAUUUUCGGGGGGUCGCGAAGCGGAAACACGUGGGCGCAGUUGAGUAUCGGGCGGCGGAUACGGGUGGCGAAAGGGCCAAUUUGCAGAGUGCUCACAAGCAAUCGGAACGCGAAUGGAGGUGGGUUGUGCUUACGAAUGCGACUAUGUCGCCUUGUCUUUAGCAUUAUCUCUAUUGAUUGCAUGUGCAUGUAGGACAAGACUAAAUGGUGAUAAUAAUAUGCAAUUAAUGUAAAGGCUAAUGUGAAGAAUGGGCAUGUACAACGAUUGCAGCUGACUAAAAUAUAGCUAAGUAGCGCAAGGGUGAGAAUGUAAUUGCUAGUAAUGUUAAGAGUGAUAUUAAUAAUAAGUUGCAUAGAUAGAAAUGUCAAUGUAUGAUGAGGAAUUAGAUGAGUAUCUCGUAGUAAGCCGAGUGAUGGACAAAUAGGAGUUGCUCAAGGUAUAAUGAGUGGCAUUCACUAGUGGUAAAGAAUCAUAGUGUGAUGUGAACAUAGUUUGGAAAAGAAGAAUGAUCUAUGUGUAAAUAAACUAGGUUUAUAGAAUGUGAAGCAUAAAUAAUGGGUGACUUUAGGGUUGAGGUAAGGGUUAGUAUCCUAGCAGAUAAGUUUCCAUUAGGGUUGAAGACCAACCCUUGUGAUGAUGAAAUGCGAUUCCGGAAUCCCAAGGCUAUAGGAUUACACCAAAGUAGGUUGUUGAGGGUGUGCGACGAUUUCGCGCCAAAGGGCUAAAGAACAUUGUACGUGGCAGUGUGCGUACGAUUUCGCGCCGGAAUGGUUAGCCAGUUGUGGUUAUCUACGCUGUUGACUGAACACUGUCGUCGCGUUUUGCGCGAUUUCAGCCGGCCGUGGUGGCUAAGUCAUGGACUAGGGCCGAUUGUUUGAGAUGAGUGCAUUAGUUCGCCGCCAGACGGCUAGGACAGGAGUACGGUGAGCUGUUGCCAGCUGAGGUACAUGUGAGAGUUCCUUCACCUCGAGCUAGACAGUGUGCUGACUAUCCGCGAUUGAUCGACUCAAGACCGAGUCGGGUGGCAUAGAGAAGUAAGGUAAGAGAAACCUUAGGAAAGAAUGGCCAGUGAAAAAGUGCAACAAAGUGUAAAGAAUAAAGAAUAAGUAAAGAAUAAAGAUCGGCUAAGGAAUAAGAAUAGCUGAUAAAGUAAAGAAAGGUUACAAGUAAAGAAUAGCUAAGAGCUAAAUGUAAACAUUAAAUGAUAAGAGUAGCGUUAAAGUAACCUACUUGCAUGAUUACAGGUAUUGCAUAUUGCAUUUCGUGAGGCAUGAUAUGUAUUUCAAUUAAAUAUAUAUCUGUUGUAUAUUGUUGAACUAACAUGUUGCAGUGCCUCCUCGGACCUAUCGGUC